CGCCCCCUCUACCGCCUGGGAAAGGGCUGCCCCCACCUUACCCCCUUCCCUCUCACUCCUUACCCCCGCGCUCCCAGUGCCCACCCAUUUCCGCAGGUGCAAGAGUCUGGAGCAUGAGUGCGCUUCUGGCUGCCCCCUCCUAGCCUUGACUCAGCACUGCUGGACCCAUCUAGUCCGUUCCUGGCACUGGCGGACUGGAGGCUCCGGGCAGCACAACCACCAACUCGUGUGUGCGUGUGUGUGUUGGGGGUGCGGGGUGGGGGGCACAAAACCACUAACGUGUGUGUGUGUGUGUGUAUGUAUGUUUCUGUCUCCCAAGGGAACAGCACUGCUGAGUUCAGGCUGAGUUCAGUCCUCGUGGACUGUAAGCAAAAUACACUCACAAGAAGGCUAUGUGCUGUUUUGUCUUUUGCAGUGACAUCAUGUUUGCAGUGACAUCAUGUGGCUCAUGUUUUAUGUUUUUCAGAGUUCAUUAGUUUCUGUUUGUUCUCAGUUAAUAUCCAGCUCAAUAGAUUGUCACCAACCAUGUGCCUAGAGCUAACUGUGUCAAGAAGAGCAUACUUCAAUUGGCUGGAGUGAGCAAUUCAACUUGUGGAGGAAUGAGAAAUGAUAGUGUUGAGACAAGAAACAUAAAAACCCAGGGCCUCUCUCUUCCUCUCUGUCCUUUCAGCUGCUACUCACACUGGUGGUGACGGCUUCCACGGAGGAGAACGCAUCCUCCUUAUCUUCUGUGAACCUCCUCUUGCAUCUCCCCAAAGUGCUUUACAAGCAAACUACAGCACUGCCAGCUUUGGGGUGGCCAUAACUCAUUUUAUGCUGGCCACUGAGCUCCCCUCCAUGGUUGCAUUGUUGACAUGGAGCAGAUUCUGCUUCAUUGCCUGAAAUGAUUCCCCCUCCAAAACCACCACUCCACCUGCAUACACAAAUGACUGAAGAUUUCUUUCUCCGAGAAAACCUACAAACUCCAAAUUGUUAGAUAAAUGAAAUGGAGACCAAAUUACAAAAGCAGGUAAUUGGCUGUGAUCCAUGUGAAAUAGCUGUGGAAACAAAACUGAAGACCAUCUAGUGCCUUCUGAAAUUGGCCUUAAUUAAGAUGCUUUUACGAAGCUGGGAAAAGGCAGGCAGCAGCUCAGGAUCUUUAGUGCCACAAAAUAAUGGAAAGGCCUUUAACCUCUGAAAGGGAUACCAGGAGCAGGCAGGGCAUUAUCCUCUUCUUUGAACCAUGAGAGGACAUUUUACAACCUCUGCCAAGAUGCCUCGAUUCAAAUUAAAAUUCAAGUGGUUUUGCCAGUCCCUCCUCCAAGUGAGAAGUACAUACCUCCUCUUAAAGCCAUAGGAAAGGCAUUGGAGAGAACUGGCUGUCUUCUCAUUUUGGACAUGAGAAAGUGGGGCACAGAUCAGACAAGAACUGGCCAUAAGUCACACCUGGGGACUCAAAGCUUAAAGUCAGAGCUCUGUAUCAUAACGAGUGGCCCUUGCUUGGGUGCCUGGGAAAGGGACGUACCAAACAGAGCAAAGAAACCUGCAACUGAUGGCAGCCUCCUGGGGGAACACACUGCUGGUGGUGGCAAAAGGACAGCAAGGGGCCUCGCAAUCAGAGGUGAGAGAGGACAGACCAGCACUGAAACUGAUGAGUCAACUGUGUUAGCAUGGUGCUGUUGCAUUGCAGAUGUUCUCUCUUUUAAUUAUCUCAACAAAUCUGGGUGAUUAAACCCAUUUCAUGGAUGAGAACAUGGAGGCUCAGAGACAGUAAGUAAGUUGUCUAAGGUGGUCUCAUUACAAGUUAGCUGUGCAGGCUGGGUACAGUGGCUC